AUGAACGCUGGCGGCGUGCCUAAUACAUGCAAGUCGAGCGCACAGACGAGGAGCUUGCUCCUCUGACGAUAGCGGCGGACGGGUGAGUAACACGUGGAUAACCUACCUAUAAGACUGGGAUAACUUCGGGAAACCGGAGCUAAUACCGGAUAAUAUAUUGAACCGCAUGGUUCAAUAGUGAAAGACGGUUUUGCUGUCACUUAUAGAUGGAUCCGCGCCGCAUUAGCUAGUUGGUAAGGUAACGGCUUACCAAGGCAACGAUGCGUAGCCGACCUGAGAGGGUGAUCGGCCACACUGGAACUGAGACACGGUCCAGACUCCUACGGGAGGCAGCAGUAGGGAAUCUUCCGCAAUGGGCGAAAGCCUGACGGAGCAACGCCGCGUGAGUGAUGAAGGUCUUCGGAUCGUAAAACUCUGUUAUUAGGGAAGAACAAAUGUGUAAGUAACUAUGCACGUCUUGACGGUACCUAAUCAGAAAGCCACGGCUAACUACGUG
rnacentral:rRNA from 1 species